GACGAACGCUGGCGGCGUGCUUAACACAUGCAAGUCGAGCGGUAAGGCCCUUUCGGGGGUACACGAGCGGCGAACGGGUGAGUAACACGUGGGUGACCUGCCCUCAGCUCUGGGAUAAGCCUGGGAAACCGGGUCUAAUACCGGAUAUGACUCCAUGACGCAUGUUGUGGGGUGAAAGCCUUGUGCGGCUGAGGAUGGGCCCGCGGCCUAUCAGCUUGUUGGUGGGGUGAUGGCCUACCAAGGCGACGACGGGUAGCCGGCCUGAGAGGGCGACCGGCCACACUGGGACUGAGACACGGCCCAGACUCCUACGGGAGGCAGCAGUGGGGAAUCUUGCGCAAUGGGCGAAAGCCUGACGCAGCGACGCCGCGUGAGGGAUGACGGCCU
rnacentral:rRNA from 1 species